rnacentral:rRNA from 1 species
GGUUAAGCGACUAAGCGUACACGGUGGAUGCCCUGGCAGUCAGAGGCGAUGAAGGACGUGCUAAUCUGCGAUAAGCGUCGGUAAGGUGAUAUGAACCGUUAUAACCGGCGAUUUCCGAAUGGGGAAACCCAGUGUGAUUCGUCACACUAUCAUUAACUGAAUCCAUAGGUUAAUGAGGCGAACCGGGGGAACUGAAACAUCUAAGUACCCCGAGGAAAAGAAAUCAACCGAGAUUCCCCCAGUAGCGGCGAGCGAACGGGGAGGAGCCCAGAGCCUGAAUCAGUGUGUGUGUUAGUGGAAGCGUCUGGAAAGGCGCGCGAUACAGGGU